rnacentral:ncRNA from 1 species
GCUUGUCUCAAAGAUUAAGCCAUGCAUGUCUAAGUAUAAGCAAUUUAUACAGUGAAACUGCGAAUGGCUCAUUAAAUCAGUUAUCGUUUAUUUGAUAGUUUCUUUACUACAUGGAAUACCUGUGGUAAUUCUAGAGCUAAUACAUGCUUAAAAUCCCAACUUACGAAGGGAUGUAUUUAUUAGAUAAAAAAUCAAUGUCUUCGGACUUCUGAUGAUUCAUAAUAACUUUUCGAAUCGCAUGGCUUUAUGCUGGCGAUGGUUCAUUCAAAUUUCUGCCCUAUCAACUUUUGAUGGUAGGAUAGUGGCCUACCAUGGUUUCAACGGGUAACGGGGAAUAAGGGUUCGAUUCCGGAGAGGGAGCCUGAGAAACGGCUACCACAUCCAAGGAAGGCAGCAGGCGCGCAAAUUACCCAAUCCUAAUUCAGGGAGGUAGUGACAAUAAAUAACGAUACAGGGCUUUAUGUCUUGUAAUUGGAAUGAGUACAAUUUAAAUACCUUAACGAGGAACAAUUGGAGGGCAAGUCUGGUGCCAGCAGCCGCGGUAAUUCCCUGAUCCAAUAGCGUAUAUUAAAGUUGUUGCAGUUAAAAAGCUCGUAGUUGAACUUUGGGCUUGGAGAAUCGGUCCAACUUUGUUGUGUACUGUCUUCUCCAGGUCUUUCCUUCUGGUUCUCAUUUGGGGUUUACUCCAUUUGUUGAUCCAGGAUUUUUACUUUGAAAAAAUUAGAGUGUUCAAAGCAGGCGUUUUGCUCGAAUAUAUUAGCAUGGAAUAAUAGAAUAGGACGAUUGGUUCUAUUUUGUUGGUUUCUAGGACCAUCGUAAUGAUUAAUAGGGACGGUCGGGGGCAUCAGUAUUCAGUUGUCAGAGGUGAAAUUCUUGGAUUUACUGAAGACUAACUACUGCGAAAGCAUUUGUCAAGGACGUUUUCAUUAAUCAAGAACGAAAGUUAGGGGAUCGAAGAUGAUCAGAUACCGUCGUAGUCUUAACCAUAAACUAUGCCGACUAGGGAUCGGGCGGUGCCUUUUAUUGGCCCACUCGGCACCUUACGAGAAAUCAAAGUUUUUGGGUUCUGGGGGGAGUAUGGUCGCAAGGCUGAAACUUAAAGGAAUUGACGGAAGGGCACCACCAGGAGUGGAGCCUGCGGCUUAAUUUGACUCAACACGGGGAAACUCACCAGGUCCAAG